GGGCGGUUCUUAAUAAAAAAAUAUAUGAAAAUAUCCCCACACAGAAAGGAAUAGUGAGAGUGACCAUAUAAAAACAAUUUCAGCUGAAAAAAAAUAACACGGUUUCCCACCAAGUCCCAAAGAGAACCUAGGUUUCCAUGGGAUGUUCAGGAGGUGUAGAACUUCUAGCCGUGGGUGGGAUGGGACGCAUGCUGCCUGUCCAAAUAAGCAAACAUCCUCCCUGAACCCAUAUCCGUGCCCCACAUGCCGUGGUUCCCAUUUGCUUCCUGUUUUCGGCCCUCCCAAAAAUACAGCUCACAGGCGUUUUAUUUUCACCUCCUCACCUUGAAAAGCACAGAUCUGCCAGAAUGUGUCUGUCUUCGCAGGGAGACAAACCCAGCAGGCAUUCAAGACACUCAGGCGAGAAGAAAUGCAUCCCAUCGGAAAAUUUCCAUCGCCAGCAUUUUUUUUUUUUAAUUUCCAAGAUAAAUGGGGUUUUACUUAUAAGAGCAAGGGCUCCAUUAUCUUUCAAAUACUUUGCUGCUUCCAAGGAGCCGAGAAAAUUGGUCAUGCACCUGGCCAGCUGAUCCAGCCUCAAAAAAUCUUCCGACCUUAAUGAAAAGGGCCUAAUUUUUCCUCCCCUUUAAUAAAUGUUUCUUUGUUUCUUCCCAGCAAUAUUCAGCAUGUGGGGCGGGCAGGCAGAAUGCCCAGUUCGCGCAAAUGGGCAGGCACACCUGAUUCACCAGGAUUCUUCCCACUGCCUCUAAUCCAGGGAACCCUGCUCCAGAGGGCUUGGGAAGGGGAGCAGAUAACUCAGCCCCCAAUCUCCAGAGGGCCAAAGAACCAGUACGUUCCGAUGUGGAUUUGAAGGUUUACGUGUAUGUGUGCGCAUGGGUGUGUUAGCAGACCAAAUUCUUAGAGGCCGCUUGAAGGUGUCAUAAAAGAUAAUUCAGGUGGAAAACUCCCUGGAAAAAAAAUUCCCCUGCUCUCCAGAUGCCUGCGUCCUGACCUCCAGAACCUGGGAGAGAGUAGCAAGGAUUUGGAUUGUGGCCUACGGGCAGAAUUUGCAGGUCUGUUUCCCAAAGAAUAAAUCGCAGCCCCUCAGGCUGGAACAGGCAGGUGCUGUGAAAUCUGGCUGACGGGUCAACUUCAAGGUGAUCUGCCUGCCACGUCUUCUCUCUGUUCAGCUAAUCUCCCGGCACCCCCUUGGUGCCUGGUAAAGGUAAAUCAUUCUGACUACGUGUAUGAAACGGGAGGGUCUUUGCAUACCUGUAAUUACUACCUGACAAGUCUCUGCGGAACCUGGGAGUUUCCCAGAGGGCCAGAAGGGCCACUUCUGGAGGGGGUUAGCCUUGAACUCCGUGGCGUCGUUUACAUUCACCACACGUCCCCACGUGGACCUGCCCCGUUCCCAGUGCCCCUUAGCCACCGGCGCCUGGCGGCUACCAUAUAUGGCUGCGAAAAUCUGGACGCGAGCGCCUGUAUAAGGAGUCACAGCUCCUGCUCGGAAUUCUGAGUCCGAGUGGGAAGGCAGACCGGCUUCAAGGGAGGCGGCUAGGGAGGAAGAGGGAGGUGGGGUCAUCCAACAUGUCCCAGGAGCCGGCGCCCGUCGCUGCGCGUCAUCAUCGGUGCCGGGCAGGCGACACCAAGCUCCUCCCGCGUGGUCCCGAGAGCGGCUGGGUGAACAGCGGAAAGGGAAACCGAGCGCUGAGGGACGUUUGCUAAAUUUUGCCAAGUGCCUGGACACCAGAUCACGAGGGUGACCCAGAAAACAGCCAGUGCACCUGUGGGGGAGGCUUGGCGGUCAGCCCGGCCGCGGAGGUCACCCGAGGUCACUGCCAGGGGCGCGGAGCACUGGGAGGCCGCCUAAUGUGGAAAUGUUUGGACGCCGAGCGGCGCAGGCGCAGCGGGCAGCCGCCGGCCGGGACCUGGCCGGGCCGGCAGGGCCGUGAGCGCAGCGCCUGACGGUAACCAGACGCUGCGGGGACGCCGGGAGCCGCUGCGCCCGCGCUUGCCAAGACCCCACCACAUCUUUCCUAAUAAGUCUGGCGGUGCCUGCGUCCUCUCGCUGCAGAUCGGCCUCUCCCCUCCGCCCGGUCUUAUUUAAGAAAAGGGGGUGGGGUGCUGCAGGAGAGGGAGAGCGAGCCAGCCCAGCGAGAACUUGGCCUGCUGCCCUGCUGUCCCCUGGCCUCCUCUCUCGGCCACAGAUCCGCUUUGUGAAUGGAGGGGGCGUUUUCUCCAAGGUGGCUCUCUAACCCUUUGGGCGCACAGGUCGCACUCCAGACGUUGAGCUCGUGUCAGACCCUUGUCCUGGCGUGGGGAGGGGGCGCCCCGAUCUCCCCUGUGCCCUUUCUUUCCUCCUCUUCUCCUCCUCCCCCUCCCUGGAAGGGCGCCACCCACCUAACUCCAGAAGGAGGUCACCCUCCCCGCCACUGGGUCUGGCUGGGAUCCUGGGCCCCGGAGCUGCAGCAGGGAGACGCUUCCUAGCGGCUGUCCCAGCCCCACUCCAGGGAGGGCAGGGUUACAACACGUGUGUGUUUGGGUCAGGAGCACUUUUGAACUAUGGCUCCAAGAAAGAACAGCCUGUACAGCCACUCUGAGUCUCCCAGCAACAAAGAAUGUGCAACAGAUUAGCCCUGGCUUGCAAAACAAUUUAAAAAAAAAAAAAAGAGGUGCAGGCUGGUCUCUUUAUAGGGUUCUGGAGCAAGGGUGGCUGGAUUGAAAGUCGCCCUCACUGCCUGGGCCGCAGACACCAGCCCCGCGCCCGCUGACGGUUUAUGACCUUGGCUGACUAGUAAGCCCUUGUAACACCAUUACUGUCGGGGUCUCGCCAGCUUCUAGACCCAGAUGCGGUUGAAGGUCAGCCGCCAGGGGACAGGGGCUCUCCUGCCAUUGGAACAAGGUUACAAAGAAUAAUUUUUCCUGCCCAAGGGUUUGUAGAUGAUUAACAUGUUUCUGUUAACUGGAGAGUUAAUAGUUAUUCAAAGCACUCUUUGAUAACGGGGGCGGAGGAGAGAAAAUGAAUGUGUUAACCAUUAAUCGAAGGGAAAUGCCAUAAAAGUUAGGGUGGAAAACGCGAAGCCUGGGAGAGGAAUUCACGGGCAACCUCGUGGGGAGGAGGACAGGGCGCAGAAUGAGGCCAUAAAGUUCAUGCAUACUUACA